rnacentral:rRNA from 1 species
GGGCCGUUGUACACACCGCCCGUCACACCAUGAGAGUUGGGAAUACCCGAAGCCUGUGAGCUAACGAAAGAGGCAGCAGUCGAAGGUAGAAUCAAUGAUUGGGGUGAAGUCGUAACAAGGUACC